CGUGAGGUGACGGGAGCUUGCAGGAGCGAGUCCCCGACGACGACUGUAGCUGUAGCUCUGUGCCCUCAGCCUUCUGUACCAGGCCCGUCUCCCGCCUCCCGCCUCGAAUUUCAUUUUUCAAACACAGUUUCCCCCGACCCUCGGAGUGCCCUUUCCUUUCGCGGGAAGCGGGGCGUUGGAGGAGGAUAAAAAAGGUUCCGGGUGCGAGGCGAAGAUGGAGGAGGGCGCCCAGACCCCAGACUGGGACAGCGAUGAAACGAUGAUUGACGAGUCGGUGACGGAGAGCGACCUGGAUGAAGAGGAGCUUCCCUGGAGAAGGCACUCCUUCUCCUGAGAUUCAACUUGCUUUCAAAUUCAGAGAGAUUCCACAAGAGCAGAAGAGUAAAAAUAAUAUAAUGCCGCCUCUUAGUGAGAAAGAAGUCUUACAGGUAUAUAUCAUAUU
rnacentral:lncRNA from 1 species